rnacentral:rRNA from 1 species
UACGUAGGGUGCGAGCGUUGUCCGGAAUUAUUGGGCGUAAAGAGCUCGUAGGCGGUGUGUCGCGUCGGCCGUGAAAACCUGGGGCUUAACUCUGGGCGUGCGGUCGAUACGGGCAUCACUAGAGUUCGGCAGGGGAGACUGGAAUUCCUGGUGUAGCGGUGAAAUGCGUAGAUAUCAGGAGGAAUACCGGUGGUGUAGACGGCUCUCUGGACCGCAACUGACGCUGAGACACGAAAGCGUGGGUAGCAAACAGG